UACAGAGGGGGCGAGCGUUGUUCGGAAUUACUGGGCGUAAAGGGCGCGUAGGCGGCCAACUAAGUCAGACGUGAAAUCCCUCGGCUCAACCGGGGAACUGCGUCUGAUACUGGAUGGCUUGAAUUCGGGAGAGGGAUGCGGAAUUCCAGGUGUAGCGGUGAAAUGCGUAGAUAUCUGGAGGAACACCGGUGGCGAAGGCGGCAUCCUGGACCGAGAUUGACGCUGAUGCGCGAAAGCCAGGGGAGCAAAGCGGG
rnacentral:rRNA from 1 species